CAUGACCUCGACUUUGGAUGAUUUGCUUUAGCUCGUACCCAACCGACCUAUUUUGGCCAACAAGAGGAUAAGCGCCUGCUCCAUGGACUCCAAUACCUCGACCACAGAUGAUCUAUCAUAGCUCAUCAUUCAUCAAGCUAAUCUCCACAUCAUAUCUGGCCCUCCUUUAAAUUGAGAAAGUCCAGAUUGUGUAGAACUCCUCCAUGAUCAAGUUUUCUAAAC
rnacentral:lncRNA from 1 species